CCUACGGGUGGCAGCAGUGGGGAAUUUUCCGCAAUGGGCGAAAGCCUGACGGAGCAAUACCGCGUGAGGGAAGAAGGUCUGUGGAUUGUAAACCUCUUUUGUUAGGGAAGAUGAUGACGGUACCUAACGAAUAAGCAUCGGCUAACUCCGUGCCAGCAGCCGCGGUAAGACGGAGGAUGCAAGCGUUAUCCGGAAUUAUUGGGCGUAAAGCGUACGUAGGCUGUUUCAUAAGUCUGUUGUCAAAGACUGAGGCUUAACCUUGGAAAGGCAAUGGAAACUGUGAGGCUAGAGAGAGAAAGGGGCAGGAGGAAUUCCAGGUGUAGCGGUGAAAUGCGUAGAUAUCUGGAAGAACACCAGUGGCGAAAGCGUCCUGCUGGAUCUCAACUGACGCUGAAGUACGAAAGCUAGGGGAGCGAAUGGGAUUAGAUACCCCAGUAGUC
rnacentral:rRNA from 1 species